CCCAUCGUGUUGUUUGCUAAAUCCUAGAUUUUUUCAUGUCUUCUCAAGUUAUUCUUUAAAUGGCAGAUACUAUAGGCAUUCAUGUACUCUUCCUGGUCUUUGUCAGAUUUUUAUUUCUCUCAGAUGUGAUGCUACAAUGAAUGUAGCAUCAGUGAACAAUGAAUGUUCACUGACAGUGAGCUGCUGCCCUGGGAUGUCUUAAAUUAUCUCAGAGAAAAAAAACCUGAACAUCUCAGGAAAAAAAAAAAAGCCAACAUAAAGAAAACCCAGCAGAUAUGAGAUACACAAGGUGUGUCUUUUUGGUUUAGUGCACCCAUGUUUAGCAUCUAAUUUGGAACUGCCUCACAUUUGUGGCCCCUUAGGUCUGUCUGCAGGUGUCAAAGCAACAGCUCCUCCAUCUCUUUUCUUGCAGCUCCUGGUUAUUAUUCCCUACUGCAUAAGGCAUGGAGGGAGCUUCUGGAACUUUACCACAGACCAGUGCUCCUGCACCUGCAUGAAUUUCCUACUUGUUUAUUCUAUGUGGCACAGACUUACUCCCACUGAAUCCACUAGGAACAUUCUGCAGCCAGAGAAAAACGGGAAGGCAAUUUCGCCACAGCAGUUUGUUAUUUCAGUUAGAAUCUGUUUGCUUUAAGGUGUCUUAUUAACAUCAUAUAUGUAUGUGCUUGGAAUUGCUUCCUGUCCUUGUGGAAUCAGUGACAAAAGAUCCAUUUCUUCCCACAGAACAGGAAGUCAGCUCCAGAAUUUAAAGUUUCUUCAGAUAUAAGAGGUCCUUACAACUAAUUCUUUUGAAAAGAUAUGUCAGGUACUCCCGUCUCCCUUUGCAUUGGAUGAUAGAGCUGAGCAGGUGACGUUGGACGUUUCAAGACUGAACCCCAGACUGGCACUUGCUGUGACCCUCAUUUGAACAGAGGUUCUUGCUGUGGUUUAAGUCAUUUCAUCUAAACUGAACAGUGGGCUGUUUCUGCAACCUUUCUAUCUCAAGCUGAGUUUUAGCAGCUAACUACUCCCUACAGAUUCUUUUCAUUCAAGCAAACCUCGUAGUACUAGAUGUUAAUUCAACCUGUGGAUGUGGAGAGAGGAACACCCUGAGAAUACCUGGGAUAGGAUUUGGCAUGCAAAGAAGCCAAGUCACUUUUCAGUUUUAUAACUUACUGUAACAAAGAAACAUGGGUGACCAUGCUGCUGCCUGGAGAGGAACACCAGAACAGUGAGUGUGCUGCCUUUUUAAUGUUUACAACUCUAUCACCAGUGAUACCUAUGACUUUUCUUGCAAAUUGUAGGGGGAGAUAUCUUUACAUUCCUUAGUAGAAGAAAGAAAUUCCCAUAUGGUGUUUGCCUGAGAUAAUGCUGCACAACAAUGUUAAUGACAGUUCAGAGUAUGUUGGUUUUACAUAUUUCUCAUGUAAAAACCCAGCUCCCUCAAAAUCAAUUACUGCAACUAAUGCUUAAAAAUCCUUAAUGCAUAGUUUUAUAGAAAAACAAAACCCUACGUAAAAUAUUUUUUUUCAAAAAGUGGCUGUGAGAAAAGCAGCCUUCCUUGGAACUGCAAAGACAUUUACUGAUCUGGGGAUAAAUUAAGAAAUGUUUUCCUUGGAACUUUGCACAUCUAGCAAUUUUUAAGUGAAAGCACAAAGCUUUAAGUACUCUUUAAUGAGUUUUAAAACACCAUUUAGUAGUAAACCACCUCUAAGUUGCAUAAGUAGUAAUAGUCUUGCAUAUAAAAUUACUUCAGUAUUACUUCAUAGUUAAAAAAAAGCACAGGUGAGUUUAUAACAUCCUAAUACACAAACAAAUUGGUUUUGAGAUGUUCCUCCUGCAUUUCCCACCAAGGACAGAAUGAAAACUAUUUGAGAACUAGUUAACCAGACUGUAAGUUAUUAUUGUACUUUUGAAUACAAGAGCUAACUAGCACUGGAACAUCCACCACUUUGAUAAGCCAAGGCGGUGCAGGCCCAUCGUAAUGCUCACAAGAAUUCUCCCUGUGAUUUUGGUCAAAUUUCCCAGAAUCCAGGGGAUUUGCACUUUUUUU